ensembl:lncRNA
GGAGGGUUUUAUCUAAGACAGUCAGUACCCACCAAUACCAGGUGUCAUGCAUACCCACUCCGUCAUCCACAUAAUCAUCUCUCAACGUUACAGAAAUGUGAUAAAAGCUGGGGUUUUUUUGUUUGUUUGUUUGUUUGUUUUCCCUGCGGAGCCGUCCCCCUCUAUUCUGUUGCUGUGGUAAACAGCCAACUGGAUAAAAUUGAGGGGAGGAAAGGGUAUAUUUCCUGUGACGUUCGAAGUGUUGAUGAGAAGACCCUCUACCCGGAGGCAACAGGAUCUGCAAUGGAAGUGGUAAUGAACCAUGAAAUGACCAAGUGGUGGAGGACCUUGUUACCCAGGAGAGCUAAUACUUUAUUGUGAGAGUCAAAAGUUGAUUCUUAAUUUGGCUGAAAGAUGAGAGUGUGUGAAUAGCCUGAAGGUAUAAAUAUGAAUCAAAGUGCUUUUCUUUGUAUAUACAUUUCUGCUUAGAGAAA